rnacentral:rRNA from 1 species
AUGAAUUGGUGCCUUAUCUCAAAGUGGGCAUGGAAAAUUCUAGUUGGGCAAGGUGGACUUUGGCUGGAAAUAAUCAAAGCAAAGUACUUAUCGAAAGAGGUAAUGGACUUCCGCCCAAAUGCCAAACUAUCCCAAUUUGCCAAAGGGGUGCGAAAGGUGCAACCACUGCUCUGCUUGGGUGCUGGAUUCCAUAUGAAUAACCAAAGAGUAGAGCUCUUCUGUUUAGAUAAAUGGUGUGGCGAGAGGGCUCUUAGCGAAUCAAACCCUAGUUUGUUCGCCAUAUCGGAGCUCCCCGAGGCUAAAGUGGCGGACGUAUGGGUGAAAAAUCGGUGGGAUCCUAGAUUUCAUUGA